CCGGCACGGGUGAGUAACACGUAUGCAAUCCACCUGUAACAGGGGGAUAACCCGGAGAAAUCCGGACUAAUACCCCAUAAUAUGGGCGCUCCGCAUGGAGAGCCCAUUAAGGAGAGCAAUUUUGGUUACAGACGAGCAUGCGCUCCAUUAGCCAGUUGGCGGGGUAACGGCCCACCAAAGCGACGAUGGAUAGGGGUUCUGAGAGGAAGGUCCCCCACAUUGGAACUGAGACACGGUCCAA
rnacentral:rRNA from 1 species